AUUGCUUCUCGGUCUUUUGACUAAAUUCAAGUGUAGCAUCUGUUCUUAUCCGUUUAGUAUCUGAUAUGUCCUCUAUCCAAGGACAAUAUAGUAAGUGGAUCGUUGGAAUUAAGAAAUGGAAUAGGGGCUUCCUCUCUCCACUCCAUGCAUUGACCUGGAAUCACAGCACUUCCAGGGACGGUGCACCCCCU
rnacentral:snRNA from 1 species